CCCGACACUACAGUCUACAGAGCAAUAGCGGCAACAUGGCUCCUCGUUCUGCCUUCUAGAGCAGCGGUGCAGUUGCUGCGGCCAUGCAGCUCGGCUUGCGGACAAAUGCAGUUGACUUGCACAGGCCGGUUGCUCUCUGCGACGAACCAAUUUGAUACCAUUUUUAUUUGGGUGAUUCAGCGUCAGAAGCUAACUCUUGCUUUUGCAUCUUUUCUUCCACAGCGGUUGCAGAUGUGUUGGAGCAAGAGGGCUCCUAAAACAUAGCCUGCAUCACCUCAAGUCUUCAGACACUGAAACCAGGUAUCAACAUUAAGUACACUGAUCUCUGGAAUCCUCUCUAGAAUUUACUGAUGAAAUCUUGUGUUAGUGUACAGUGUUUUGCAAUUCUCCUGGUUUGUGUUGCAAUUCUACCUGUGCAGCUCAGUUGCCUCUCCCCGUGCAGCUCGCUUGCCGCCCCCGUGCAGCUCACCUCCGCCGAGCAAACUCUUUUCGGCGAGUCCACAUCGCGUCCGCACCACAUCGUGCAAUUUGAGUGCAGUUUUUGAUUAUUUUUGGAGCAGCACAUCCAUCCAACCCAAUAAGUUCAGAGUUUGUGUGUUCAGUGCAGUACCGCAGUGCAAUGCAGUGCAGUUUCGGUUUCAGAGUCCCGUUGAAGGCCUCUUGGUGCUAUCCUCACUUAAUUUUUAUGUGAAAAUGUGUGUACAGCCUGUGUAACAGAAUUGCAAGGCCAAGUUUGUCAUAAAAAAUGAUGCUUAGAUGCGAUUCAGUGUAAAAUCCUAUGUGGUUCACUUGGUAAACAAAAAAGUGUCUGGUAUGUAAAUUUUUGAAGCUCACUUUGUAAUGUCAUGUGGCUAACCUCUCGAUAGUUUUGCGGUCCACUUACGCCCGAGGUGAAGCCCGCUGUGUAAUCUCAUGCGGCACACCUCUUGAUAGUGUUGCGAUUCACUUACGCCCGAUCCAAUAUGAAGCUCACUUUGUAAUGUCAUGUGGCUCACCUCGAUAGUUUUGCGAUCCACUUACGCUCGAGGUGAAGCUCACUUUGUAAUCUCAUGCGGGUCACCUCUUGAUAGUGUUGCAAUUCACUUACACCCUAUCCAAUAUGAAGCUCACUUUGUA
rnacentral:lncRNA from 1 species